rnacentral:rRNA from 1 species
AACGAACGCUGGCGGCGCGUCUUAAGCAUGCAAGUCGAACGGCAAGAGAGGAGCUUGCUUCUCUCCUAGAGUGGCGGACUGGUGAGGAAUACGUGGGUAAUCUACCCUUAAGAUGGGGAUAGCUGCUAGAAAUAGCAGGUAAUACCGAAUACACUCGGCAUAUCACAAGAGGUGUUGAGGAAAGGAAGCUACGGCUUCGCUUGAGGAUGAGCUUGCGUCCCAUUAGCUAGUUGGUGAGGUAAAGGCCCACCAAGGCGACGAUGGGUAUCCGGCCUGAGAGGGUGAACGGACACAUUGGGACUGAGAUACGGCCCAAACUCCUACGGGAGGCAGCAGCUAAGAAUAUUCCGCAAUGGACGGAAGUCUGACGGAGCGACGCCGCGUGGAUGAAGAAGGCUGAAAAGUUGUAAAAUCCUUUUGUUGAUGAAGAAUAAGGGUGAGAGGGAAUGCUCAUCUGAUGACGGUAAUCGACGAAUAAGCCCCGGCUAAUUACGUG